UUCGUUCCAGUCUCCACCCUUGAAUUGAAUCCACACACACAUGAGAGAGAGAACCGAGAUGACGCCGGGUCAGUGAUGAUGGUGUACGGAUGAUGGCGGUGGUAGGUUGUGGACAAAGCGAAGCCCGACGAUGGCUUUAGGGUUCCGUCGCAAGUCAGUCAAUGGGUUAUUAGGAUUCGGGCAGAGCCAUACCUAGGGUUCCGAUUGACAAUUCCAGAGGUGUAAUCGGUGUUUAAAAGGACGGAUUGAAACAACCCCUCUUCAUCUCGCCAAAACGCUAAUCGAUUCGUCAACCACCACAUCUUCAGAAGAGAUCAACGUCAUCCACAGUGGCACCACAACGCUUUCACUGAGUUCGAGAAAGUGUUCGAUCGGAUUGGAUGUUCAUAGCAUGCUUCAUUCACGCGCAUGGGUGCCUUUCCAAGUUCCAAUGAUUGACAGGAGAAGACUUGAUUACACCAUGCCAUUGUAGAGGCACCCAAAAAUAUGUCCACAGGUCAUGUCUUGACAAUUGGAGGUCUGCCAGGGAGGGGUUUGCUUUCUCUCACUGCACAGAAUGUAAGGCUGUGUUUAUCCUACGUGCGAAUGUCCCACCAGAUCGCUGGUGGUUGAGGUUGAAAUUUCAGUUACUGGUUGCAAGAGACCAUGCAUUCAUUUUCAUCAUUGACUCAUUGUCCAACUGAUUGUUGCCUUCUUAGGUGUGUUGGUCUACAAAUUUUAUGGAGAUGAACCGAGACAAAGGUUAAGGUCUUUGAUGCUGCUGGGUCUCGGAGCUUGUUCAGGCUGCAUUGCUAUGGCCGCUGAGCGCUGGACGCAUUCAUAUGGACCUGGUUGCAUUAUUGGAACAAGCUUGUUCUGUACAGUCUGCAGACUGCAAGUAUAAAGCUCCUGCUGCACUGGACGGGAGCUUCAGGCUGCUUUUAUAUGGCUGUUAGAAGCUGGUCGCAUCAAACUUUACUCCGGACCUGCAUUGGUAGCAUUUUUACUGGAAAAGGUCCUGGUUUAUACGUUUGGGCUGGUCAUCUUUUAAAGGCCCAGUUCUGGUUUAUUAGUCAGACUCAAAGGGACUAGGAUUGGGCUGUUAUACUUCACCGUAAAGUGCUGAAAUACAGGGAUGUGUUGCUGUGUCUCUGGGAUGUUACGGGGGAAUGCCCCCUUGGUGUAAUUUUUUCAUUGUGUGUUAUAUAGUUUGCCGGGCGAUGCCCUUUAUUCAAAAAAAAAAAGUUUAUAUUAAAAACCAACUCCUUCCCUCUCAUUAUUCAUCCUAGCCAAUGACGCGCCGUUAUCUGGUCGCGCAGCGC
rnacentral:lncRNA from 1 species